CGGCCGCGUCGACAUUCGAAGCAACGCGAAGAACCUUACCAGGUCUUGACAUCCAACUAACGAGGUAGAGAUACGUUAGGUGCCCUUCGGGGAAAGUUGAGACAGGUGGUGCAUGGUUGUCGUCAGCUCGUGUCGUGAGAUGUUGGGUUAAGUCCCGCAACGAGCGCAACCCUUGUGAUUAGUUGCUACGCAAGAGCACUCUAAUCAGACUGCCGUUGACAAAACGGAGGAAGGUGGGGACGACGUCAAAUCAUCAUGCCCCUUAUGACCUGGGCUACACACGUACUACAAUGGUCGACGCGGCCG
rnacentral:rRNA from 1 species